rnacentral:rRNA from 1 species
AAUAGAUACCCUGGUAGUCCACGCCGUAAACGAUGAGUGCUAAGUGUUAGGGGGUUUCCGCCCCUUAGUGCUGCAGCUAACGCAUUAAGCACUCCGCCUGGGGAGUACGGUCGCAAGACUGAAACUCAAAGGAAUUGACGGGGGCCCGCACAAGCGGUGGAGCAUGUGGUUUAAUUCGAAGCAACGCGAAGAACCUUACCAGGUCUUGACAUCCCAUUGACCACUAUGGAGACAUAGUUUUCCCUUCGGGGACAACGGUGACAGGUGGUGCAUGGUUGUCGUCAGCUCGUGUCGUGAGAUGUUGGGUUAAGUCCCGCAACGAGCGCAACCCUUGUUCUUAGUUGCCAUCAUUUAGUUGGGCACUCUAAGGAGACUGCCGGUGACAAACCGGAGGAAGGUGGGGAUGACGUCAAAUCAUCAUGCCCCUUAUGACCUGGGCUACACACGUGCUACAAUGGACGGUACAAACGGUUGCCAACCCGCGAGGGGGAGCUAAUCCGAUAAAACCGCUCUCAGUUCGGAUUGUAGGCUGCAACUCGCCUAC